AUUUUCUUUAAAUCCAAAGAAUUUGGCGGUGAUUCAGUCUGGUCAGAGGAACCUGCUUUUUAAUCGAUAUGACACGUAAAAUCUUACUUAUUUUUGUUUUUAGUUUGUAUACCAUCAUUAUCAGAUAAUUUUAUAAAGAAAUAAAAUUAUUGAAAAUAAUUAUAUUAGUUAAAUUAGAUCAAGGUGCAGCUUAUAAAUAAGUUAAAGUGGGUUACAAUAAGAUUUAUUUAAACGGAACAAGGUUAAUUAUAGAUCUUAGGAAGGAGGAUUUGAUUGUCACAUCAAUUUAAUAAGC
rnacentral:rRNA from 1 species